GAAAAUCCAAACCUGCGCAUGCACGGCUUCUCGCUGUGCUGCGCACCCACUAUCUAUGCCUGGGUUUUUCACUGCCGGACCUUGCGUUCGGCGGUGGCCUAGUUGCUAUCUAUAUACACCUAACUACUACUGCGAGCCGUCAUGGCUUUGCGUGGUAAACUGAACCUUUUUCUCCUUCCUAUCUGUAUUUGCCUUUACGGCUGUAUUGAAUGGAAAGAAUAAAAACCAAAAA
rnacentral:misc_RNA from 1 species